rnacentral:rRNA from 1 species
AGUGAACGCUGGCGGUAGGCCUAACACAUGCAAGUCGAACGGCAGCACAGUAAGAGCUUGCUCUUACGGGUGGCGAGUGGCGGACGGGUGAGGAAUACAUCGGAAUCUACUUUUUCGUGGGGGAUAACGUAGGGAAACUUACGCUAAUACCGCAUACGACCUACGGGUGAAAGCAGGGGAUCUUCGGACCUUGCGCGAUUGAAUGAGCCGAUGUCGGAUUAGCUAGUUGGCGGGGUAAAGGCCCACCAAGGCGACGAUCCGUAGCUGGUCUGAGAGGAUGAUCAGCCACACUGGAACUGAGACACGGUCCAGACUCCUACGGGAGGCAGCAGUAGGGAAUAUUGGACAAUGGGCGCAAGCCUGAUCCAGCCAUACCGCGUGGGUGAAGAAGGCCUUCGGGUUGUAAAGCCCUUUUGUUAGGAAAGAAAAGCAGCAGAUUAAUACCCCGCUGUUCUGACGGUACCCAAAGAGUAAGCACCGGCUAACUUCGUG